GAUGAACGCUAGCUACAGGCUUAACACAUGCAAGUCGAGGGGAAACGACAUCGAAAGCUUGCUUUUGAUGGGCGUCGACCGGCGCACGGGUGAGUAACGCGUAUCCAACCUGCCCACCACUUGGGGAUAACCUUGCGAAAGUAAGACUAAUACCCAAUGAUAUCUCUAGAAGACAUCUGAAAGAGAUUAAAGAUUUAUCGGUGAUGGAUGGGGAUGCGUCUGAUUAGCUUGUUGGCGGGGUAACGGCCCACCAAGGCAACGAUCAGUAGGGGUUCUGAGAGGAAGGUCCCCCACAUUGGAACUGGGACACGGUCCAAACUCAUACGGGAGGCAGCAGUGAGGAAUAUUGGUCAAUGGACGAGAGUCUGAACCAGCCAAGUAGCGUGCAGGAAGACGGCCCUAUGGGUUGUAAACUGCUUUUAGAAGGGAAUAAAGUGAGUCUCGGGAGACUUUUUGCAUGUACCUUAUGAAUGAGGACCGGCUAAUUACGUG
rnacentral:rRNA from 1 species